rnacentral:rRNA from 1 species
GACGAACGCUGGCGGCGUGCCUAACACAUGCAAGUCGAACGGAGAUACGAUUUCGGUUGUAUCUUAGUGGCGAACGGGUGAGUAACGCGUGAGCAACCUGACCUUUAGAGGGGGAUAACACUUGGAAACAGGUGCUAAUACCGCAUAAGACCACGACCCGACAUCGGGAUGAGGUCAAAGGAGAAAUCCGCUAAAGGAGGGGCUCGCGUCCCAUUAGAUAGAUGGCGGGGUAACGGCCCACCAUGUCGACGAUGGGUAGCCGAGCUGAGAGGCUGAUCGGCCACACUGGAACUGAGACACGGUCCAGACUCCUACGGGAGGCAGCAGUGGGGAAUAUUGGGCAAUGGGCGCAAGCCUGACCCAGCAACGCCGCGUGAGGGAAGAAGGUCUUCGGAUUGUAAACCUCUGUCCUUGGUGACGAAACAAAUGACGGUAGCCAAGGAGGAAGCCCCGGUAACUACGUGCCAGCAGCCGCGGUAAGCUAGUCUACG